CCAAUAGCGUAUAUUAAAGUUGUUGCAGUUAAAAAGCUCGUAGUUGAAUUUUGGAUUCUUCCAAUUGGUCCAUCUUUUAGAUGAGUACUGGUUGUGUGGGGUCUAUCCGCCUGGUGAUACGUAAUGUCCUUUAUUGGAUGUUGCGGGUAGUCAGGACCUUUACCUUGAAAAAAUUAGAGUGUUUAAAGCAGGCUUAUGCCGGAAUACAUUAGCAUGGAAUAAUAGAAUAGGACGAAGUUGUUUUAUUUUGUUGGUUUCUAGGACAACCGUAAUGAUUAAUAGGGUUAGUUGGGGGCAUUAGUAUUAAAUUGUCAGAGGUGAAAUUCUUGGAUUUAUUGAAGACUAACUACUGCGAAAGCAUUUGCCAAGGAUGUUUUCAUUAAUCAAGAACGAAAGUUAGGGGAUCGAAGACGAUCAGAUACCGUCGUAGUCUUAACCAUAAACUAUGCCGACUAGGGAUCGGGCGAUGUUGUUUCCAUGACUCGCUCGGCACCUUAUG
rnacentral:rRNA from 1 species